rnacentral:rRNA from 1 species
UACGUAGGGGGCAAGCGUUGUCCGGAAUCAUUGGGCGUAAAGCGCGUGUAGGCGGCUUGGUAAGUCCGCUCUGAAAGCCCGGGGCUCAACCCCGGGAGGCGGGUGGAUACUGUCAAGCUCGAGUCCGGAAGAGGCGAGUGGAAUUCCUGGUGUAGCGGUGAAAUGCGCAGAUAUCAGGAGGAACACCAAUGGCGAAGGCAGCUCGCUGGGACGUGAGUGACGCUGAGGCGCGAAGGCGUGGGGAGCGAACGGG